GAUGAACGCUAGCUACAGGCUUAACACAUGCAAGUCGAGGGGAAACGACAUCGAAAGCUUGCUUUUGAUGGGCGUCGACCGGCGCACGGGUGAGUAACGCGUAUCCAACCUGCCCAUCACUUGGGAAUAACCUUGCGAAAGUAAGACUAAUACCCAAUGAUAUCCCACGAAGGCAUCGGAAUGGGAUUAAAGAUUUAUCGGUGAUGGAUGGGGAUGCGUCUGAUUAGCUUGUUGGCGGGGUAACGGCCCACCAAGGCAACGAUCAGUAGGGGUUCUGAGAGGAAGGUACCCCACAUUGGAACUGAGACACGGUCCAAACUCGUACGGGAGGCAGCAGUGAGGAAUAUUGGGCGAUGGGCGAGAGCCUGAACCAGCCAAGUAGCGUGCAGGAAGACGGCCCUAUGGGUUGUAAACUGCUUUUAUAAGGGAAUAAAGUGGGUAACGUGUGACUUUUUGCAUGUACCUUAUGAAUAAGGACCGGCUAACUCCGUG
rnacentral:rRNA from 1 species